rnacentral:misc_RNA from 1 species
UGGGUUUGACAUACACCGACAAAAAGGGGCCAUAUCUCUAUGGCUUUCCGGCGUAUGUCAAACCCAGGUAAGGUUCUUCGCGUUGCAUCGAAUUAAUCCGCAUGCUCCGCCGCUUGUGCGGGCCUUCGUUAAUUCCUUUGAGUUUUAGCCUUGCGGCCGUACUCCCCAGGCGGGGCGCUUAAUGCGUUAGCUGCGGCACGGAACCCAUGGAAUAGGCCCCACACCUAGCGCCCAACGUUUACGGUGUGGACUAC